rnacentral:rRNA from 1 species
CGUCCGUACGAGCGCAACCCUUGUCCUUAGUUACCAGCACGUUAUGGUGGGCACUCUAAGGAGACUGCCGGUGACAAACCGGAGGAAGGUGGGGAUGACGUCAAGUCAUCAUGGCCCUUACGGCCUGGGCUACACACGUGCUACAAUGGUCGGUACAAAGGGUUGCCAAGCCGCGAGGUGGAGCUAAUCCCAUAAAACCGAUCGUAGUCCGGAUCGCAGUCUGCAACUCGACUGCGUGAAGUCGGAAUCGCUAGUAAUCGUGAAUCAGAAUGUCACGGUGAAUACGUUCCCGGGCCUU